rfam:Salmo salar isolate Sally breed double haploid chromosome ssa19, whole genome shotgun sequence.
AGUAUUCACUACUGUAAGUCGCUCUGGAUAAGAGCGUCUGCUAAAUGACAAAAA